UACGAAGGGGGCUAGCGUUGUUCGGAAUCACUGGGCGUAAAGGGCGCGUAGGCGGCUUUAUAAGUCGGGGGUGAAAGCCUGUGGCUCAACCACAGAAUUGCCUUCGAUACUGUAGAGCUUGAGACCGGAAGAGGUAAGUGGAACUGCGAGUGUAGAGGUGAAAUUCGUAGAUAUUAGGAAGAACACCAGUGGCGAAGGCGGCUCACUGGCCCGGUACUGACGCUGAGGCGCGAAAGCGUGGGGAGCAAACAGG
rnacentral:rRNA from 1 species